rnacentral:sRNA from 1 species
UCCAUGACCUCCGUGCACUCUUUUAAAG